GUUACACUGAUUAUGCAUGCGUCUUCACAUAUGAGAAAAGUAUAAUAACUAACCCCAAGUAUUUUCCACUCAGAAUGAAAGAACACAACAUGCUGUUGAAUGAUUUCCUCUGCUUCAGUUGGCGACGGAAGCACGGGAUUCUUCAUAGCUGCUCCUGCAUGUUAAAAGGUUCUUUUAGAGUGACUCCCAGAUUAGUGGAGACACAGCCUGAGUUGAAUAUUAAUAAUUUUAUAUCAAGUCUACUUCGAAAACUGGGCUGGUCAGAUUCAAGGAAUCGACUCUUUUGGAGUCGACUCCUCAUCAGUACUGCGCAUGUGCUUACAAAUCAUCACAUCGACGCGCACGUGGAAGUGAUCGCCGCGGGAAAACUGAGUUUGUCUAGUUCCUCCAUGGUUGUGAGAGGGAAGACAUCAUCCUCGCUGUCCACCACUGGAGCACUGGAACGGUUGUUUGCUGCAAGGGACUGGACCACUGAAGUCAGAUGAUUGAUCUUCAUGUCCAGUUCAUUAAGUGCCUCCAGAAUUGUCCUCUCAACAGCUGCAACACAUUAGAUGGGUGUUCACCCCAAGCAUCUUCUUGCUCAUUUUCAUUGGACAAGCUCACUGGAACAGCUGGAGUUAAGAAAGGUGAAGUUGAUGGGUGUUCUUCCCAAGUUUCCAGCUGGCGGUCUGAAUGAGAGAAGCUCAUUAACAUUACAAAAGGUGAGUGUUCACCCCAAUGAUCUUGUGGCUCAUCUGCCUGGGAGAAGCUCACGGGAACAUCUGGAGCUGACAAUGAUGGAACUGUACUCAUGUAGAGCCUGUUACCUUGACAGCUGGGGAAAGUCUCAAAACGGGCCUGCUCUGGCUUCUCCAUGGCCCUUUGGUGGUGAUUAACAAGUGCUGUUGAAAGAAUUGAGGUGCUGGAGGUUUUGGUGCAGGCGGGACUUUUGGUGCGGGCUGGAUUUUUGGUAAUUCUGGCCUGAUGCUUGGUCCAACCCUUAUCUGGCUGUGGUGCCUCCAUCAACCUGACGCUCUUUAGUAACCGGUCCAAGUCUUUGUAUGGAGGCCACCAUGAGUGGCCAUCUGAGUACCAGGACUUUGCUACAGGACCGGUACUCCCUUCUCCGACGAACUCCACUAUCAGGUGGCGAUGUACGCGCGCGAGUCGCCAAUGAGCCAAGGGAUGAAGAAGUCCUCAGGGCAAGAUGUGGUGGAGUUAUGGUUGAGAGUGCAAUCUAUUCUGCUUACCCGACUCAUGCAGACUUCUGUCCUGAUGUUUGGCUGUAGUCCUUCCAUCAUCCUUUUGCAACCGGUCUAUUUAUGGAGACCACCAUGAUCUAAUCUAUACAGAUCUAGUUGUCUCUUCUCCCACAAACUCCUCUUUCAGAUUUUGAGCGGAUCUCCUUCAUUCUGCAGCCAGCUCACCAGAACCUCUGGGUGCACCAGCUGUGGAUAUUACAGGCCAAACUUUGGACACCCUAGGACAACAUCCUUAGCACAGAUCCACCUAUAGCCCUCCAUCAUUCCCACAUCCAUCUUGCAACAGUUUCAUUAAGUGCAGUCCAUAACCAGUUCACAGUCUACACCUUGUCCAUUGCAAAUGUUAUGGAUU